ACUGGUGAUCUCUGACCGGGC
rnacentral:miRNA from 1 species